rnacentral:rRNA from 1 species
GACGAACGCUGGCGGCGUGCUUAACACAUGCAAGUCGAACGGAAAGGCCCUGCUUUUGUGGGGUGCUCGAGUGGCGAACGGGUGAGUAACACGUGAGUAACCUGCCCUUGACUUUGGGAUAACUUCAGGAAACUGGGGCUAAUACCGGAUAGGGGCUCCUGCUGCAUGGUGGGGGUUGGAAAGUUUCGGCGGUUGGGGAUGGACUCGCGGCUUAUCAGCUUGUUGGUGGGGUAGUGGCUUACCAAGGCUUUGACGGGUAGCCGGCCUGAGAGGGUGACCGGCCACAUUGGGACUGAGAUACGGCCCAGACUCCUACGGGAGGCAGCAGUGGGGAAUAUUGCACAAUGGGCGGAAGCCUGAUGCAGCAACGCCGCGUGCGGGAUGACGGCCUUCGGGUUGUAAACCGCUUUCGCCUGUGACGAAGCGUGAGUGACAGUAAUGGGUAAAGAAGCACCGGCUAACUACGUGCUAGCAGCCGCGGUGAUACGUAGGGUGCGAGCGUUGUCCGGAUUUAUUGGGCGUAAAGGGCUCGUAGGUGGUUGAUCGCGUCGGAAGUGUAAUCUUGGGGCUUAACCCUGAGCGUGCUUUCGAUACGGGUUGACUUGAGGAAGGUAGGGGAGAAUGGAAUUCCUGGUGGAGCGGUGGAAUGCGCAGAUAUCAGGAGGAACACCAGUGGCGAAGGCGGUUCUCUGGGCCUUUCCUGACGCUGAGGAGCGAAAGCGUGGGGAGCGAACAGGCUUAGAUACCCUGGUAGUCCACGCUGUAAACGGUGGGUACUAGGUGUGGGGUCCAUUCCACGGGUUCCGUGCCGUAGCUAACGCUUUAAGUACCCCGCCUGGGGAGUACGGCCGCAAGGCUAAAACUCAAAGGAAUUGACGGGGCCCCGCACAAGCGGCGGAGCAUGCGGAUUAAUUCGAUGCAACGCGUAGAACCUUACCUGGGUUUGACAUGGAUCGGGAGUGCUCAGAGAUGGGUGUGCCUCUUUUGGGGUCGGUUCACAGGUGGUGCAUGGCUGUCGUCAGCUCGUGUCGUGAGAUGUUGGGUUAAGUCCCGCAACGAGCGCAACCCUUGUUCACUGUUGCCAGCACGUUAUGGUGGGGACUCAGUGGAGACCGCCGGGGUCAACUCGGAGGAAGGUGGGGAUGACGUCAAGUCAUCAUGCCCCUUAUGCCCAGGGCUUCACGCAUGCUACAAUGGCUGGUACAGAGAGUGGCGAGCCUGUGAGGGUGAGCGAAUCUCGGAAAGCCGGUCUCAGUUCGGAUUGGGGUCUGCAACUCGACCUCAUGAAGUCAGAGUCGCUAGUAAUCGCAGGUCAGCAACGCUGCGGUGAAUACGUUCCCGGGGCU